UACAGAGGGUGCAAGCGUUGUUCGGAAUUACUGGGCGUAAAGGGCGUGUAGGCGGUUUAGCAAGUCAGAUGUGAAAUCCCGGGGCUUAACUCCGGAAGUGCAUUUGAAACUGCUAGGCUAGAGUGUAGUAGAGGAUGGCGGAAUUCCCAGUGGAGAGGUGAAAUUCGUAGAUAUUGGGAGGAACACCGGUGGCGAGGGCGGCCAUCUGGGCUACAACUGACGCUGAGGCGCGAGAGCGUGGGGAGCAAACAGG
rnacentral:rRNA from 1 species